CGGUGGGGUGUAAAACCGGGACCGGUCUGGUCCGAUUUAUUAACUUUUUUGGUCAUUCGGUUUUUUUUCGAUUUUUUUUCACUGGUUCGAUUCGGUGUUCCGGUUUUCCGGUCCCGAUGCCCACCCCUAAGUACUCAGUUAAAAUUGGCUAUCGGGUGGGUUUAUGCCAAUGUGAUGAGGAUAUUAGAGGAUAUUAAUGGUGGAUCGAGAGGUGGUUGAUGUGGUGUUUCAACCUCGCACUGGCAAUGAGACUACACAUGCAAUGGCCCAAUUUGGAUUGAAGAAAGGUUUGCGGUUUUUUUGGGAAGAUAUUGCCCCCACUUGGUUGGAGCAAGUACUAGAGAGUGAUAUGAUGCAGUCUUAAUGGUUUUUUGCUUUUCUUUGUUGUUUAUUUGGAGGUGCUGUGGUACUCUUUUUUGUUGACCGAAUUUUCCUCCUUUGGGGGUUUUAUUAGGCAAGGUUUUAAUGAGUCCAUUUUUAAUCCUUCGGUCUAUUGUAAGUGUUGAAGCAAAUUCAAUGAAGUUCUUCCCUUUGAUUUAAUUAUAAAAAUAAAAAUAAAAACGAUAUAAUUGCAAUUACAUAUUGAUGGUCCACAAAGUAAUAUUUGACUUUGCACUUAUUUUUGGC
rnacentral:lncRNA from 1 species